rnacentral:rRNA from 1 species
GACGUAGGAGGCGAGCGUUGUCCGGAUUCAUUGGGCGUAAAGAGCACGCAGGCAGUUUGGCAAGUCGGAUGUGAAAACCCGGAGCUCAACUCCGGACCUGCAUCCGAAACUGCCCGACUAGAGGUAGGUAGGGGAGAUCGGAAUUCCUGGUGUAGCGGUGAAAUGCGCAGAUAUCAGGAGGAACACCGGUGGCGAAGGCGGAUCUCUGGGCCUUACCUGACGCUCAGGUGCGAAAGCUAGGGGAGCGAACAGG